UACGGAGGGUGCAAGCGUUAUCCGGAUUUACUGGGUUUAAAGGGUGUGUAGGCGGACUUUUAAGUCAGAGGUGAAAUCUCCGGGCUCAACCCGGAAACUGCCCCUGAUACUAUUAGUCUUGAAUAUUGAUGAGGUGGGCGGAACGGGUCAUGUAGCGGUGAAAUGCUUAGAGAUGACCCGGAACACCAAGUGCGAAGGCAGCUCACUGGGCAAUUAUUGACGCUGAGGCACGAAAGCGUGGGGAUCAAACAGG
rnacentral:rRNA from 1 species